rnacentral:rRNA from 1 species
AAUACCGCAUACGUCCUACGGGAGAAAGCAGGGGACCUUCGGGCCUUGCGCUAUCAGAUGAGCCUAGGUCGGAUUAGCUAGUUGGUGAGGUAAUGGCUCACCAAGGCUACGAUCCGUAACUGGUCUGAGAGGAUGAUCAGUCACACUGGAACUGAGACACGGUCCAGACUCCUACGGGAGGCAGCAGUGGGGAAUAUUGGACAAUGGGCGAAAGCCUGAUCCAUCCAAGGCGCGUGUGUGAAGAAGGUCUUCGGA